rnacentral:rRNA from 1 species
GACGAACGCUGGCGGCGUGCUUAACACAUGCAAGUCGAACGAGUGGGAACGGGUGAGUAACACGUGGGUAACCUCCCCUCAGAGGGGAUAACACUUAGAAACAGAUGCUAUACCGUUAUUCGUGGGUGGACCGGCCGUGCAUGAGCUAGUUGGUGAGGUAACGGCUAACCAAGGCAACGAUGCAUAGCUGACCUGAGAGGGUGAUCGGCCACACUGGGACUGAGACACGGCCCAGACUCCUACGGAAGUCAGCAGUAGGGAAUUUUCGGCAAUGGACGAAAGUCUGACCGAGCAACGCCGCGUGAGUGAAGAAGGUUUUCGGAUCGUAAAACUCUUUUGUUAGAGAAGCGGUAUCUAACCAGAAAGCCACGGCUAACUACGUGCCAGCAGCCGCGGUAAUUC